GACGGGGGUCCUGGGAUGAAGGAGGGUCCCGGGAUGAAGGAAGGUCCCGGGAUGAAGGAGGGUCCCGGGAUGAAGGAAGGUCCCGGUGCGCUGCCCCCACCCGUCCCGGUCCCUCCGAAAGUCUCGCUGUCCCCACGCAACUGCUGAUCACGUUCCCCUGCGUUUCCUUUCGGUCUCCUGAUCGUCGGAAGAUGGGAACCGGUUCAUAUUGUCGCUACGAAUUGCGCCUGCAAAAUGACUCCGCUCCGUCUUUUGAUAUUUGAGGACUUUGGGUUUUGGGUGGCUGUGGCUGCAUCCAGGCACUGUGAUGUUCCUAAAACGAACCUGCAGAGAUGCUUGGAUAGGACACGGACAACUAGAGAGGAACCAAAUUACCCUUUGGAAUUGCAUCCAGUUAAUCGCCUCGUUUACUAUUUUCAGACUGAACUUCCCCCAGCCAGUCACAAUGGAGGGAUAUUCAGGCAUAGAUGAUGUCCCCAAACAUACCAUUAAAGCUCGAAAUAAACGUGCAGUGACAUCCCGAGCUCAGGACUUCCUUUGUGCUUCGGCUGGUAACCAGCAGCUUGUUUUCAAAGUCAUUUGAAUAAACAAAAGUUUUUCCUUUUAUUUUUCUUCCGA